GGGGGUGUAGCUCAGUGGGAGAGCGCUACCUUCGCAAGGUAGAAGUCGGCGGUUCAAAUCCGCUCACCUCCACCA
rnacentral:tRNA from 1 species